CCAGACUCCUACGGGAGGCAGCAGUGGGGAAUAUUGCACAAUGGGGGAAACCCUGAUGCAGCGACGCCGCGUGAGCGAAGAAGUAUUUCGGUAUGUAAAGCUCUAUCAGCAGGGAAGAAAUUGACGGUACCUGAGUAAGAAGCUCCGGCUAAAUACGUGCCAGCAGCCGCGGUAAUACGUAUGGAGCAAGCGUUAUCCGGAUUUACUGGGUGUAAAGGGAGCGUAGGCGGCCUGCCAAGUCUGAUGUGAAAUACCGGGGCUCAACCCCGGGGCUGCAUUGGAAACUGACAGGCUGGAGUGUCGGAGAGGCAGGCGGAAUUCCUAGUGUAGCGGUGAAAUGCUUAGAUAUCACGAAGAACUCCGAUUGCGAAGGCAGCCUACUAAACUGCCACUGACAUUGAUGCUCGAAAGUGUGGGUAUCAAACAGGAUUAGAUACCCUAGUA
rnacentral:rRNA from 1 species